rnacentral:tRNA from 1 species
GAUUCCGUAGCUCAGCUGGAUAGAGCAGGUGCCUUCUAAGCAUCAGGUCACUGGUUCGAAUCCAGUCGGGAUCACCA